GUCAUACUCCCUCCGUACGGAAAUACUUAUCGUAGGAAUGGAUGUAUCUAGAUGUAUUUUAAUUUUAGAUACAUUCAUUUGUAUCGUUUUGUGACAAGUAAUUUCGGACGGAGGGAGUAUUAA
rnacentral:pre_miRNA from 1 species